GAGUUUGAUCAUGGCUCAGAUUGAACGCUGGCGGCAGGCCUAACACAUGCAAGUCGAGCGGAUGACGGGAGCUUGCUCCUUGAUUCAGCGGCGGACGGGUGAGUAAUGCCUAGGAAUCUGCCUGGUAGUGGGGGACAACGUUUCGAAAGGAACGCUAAUACCGCAUACGUCCUACGGGAGAAAGCAGGGGACCUUCGGGCCUUGCGCUAUCAGAUGAGCCUAGGUCGGAUUAGCUAGUUGGUGGGGUAAUGGCUCACCAAGGCGACGAUCCGUAACUGGUCUGAGAGGAUGAUCAGUCACACUGGAACUGAGACACGGUCCAGACUCCUACGGGAGGCGAGCAGUGGGGAAUAUUGGACAAUGGGCGAAAGCCUGAUCCAGCCAUGCCGCG
rnacentral:rRNA from 1 species